rnacentral:rRNA from 1 species
AUUGAACGCUGGCGGCAGGCUUAACACAUGCAAGUCGAGCGAGCGGCGGACGGGUGAGUAAUGUCUGGGAAACUGCCUGAUGGCGGGGGAUAACUACUGGAAACGGUAGCUAAUACCGCAUACCAUCAGAUGAACCCAUAUGGGAUUAGCUAGUAGGUAAGGUAACUGCUAACCUAGGCGACGAUCCCUAGCUUGUCUGAGAGGAUGGUCAGCCACACUGGUCAUGUGACACGGCCCAGACUCCUACGGGAGGCAGCAGUGGGGAAUAUUGCACAAUGGGCGCAAGCCUGAUGCAGCCAUGCCGCGUGUAUGAAGAAGGCCUUCGGGUUGUAAAGUACUUUCAGUCGGGAGGCGUUACCGACAGAAGAAGCACCGGCUAACUCCGUGCCAGCAGCCGCGGUAAUAC